GCCAGGUUCAUGAUAUAGCAAGCUACACUAGGCAAAAAAAUGAUGCAAAAAAUCCUUUUUCAACUGUACAACUAGGAGUCUUCGCCAGUUUUAUGGAGUGGGGGGAGCGAGUUGUUACGUGCACCAAGCCCAACCCUGAUGUGUUUAAUCUAUGGAAGCAAGAGGAAAUGGAGACAUCCCAGCUGUGGGUUAAGUGACCGGGACAGACAGAGGCUACUGCCGUUUUUGAGGAGAUGAUUAUAAGUGUUGCAGGAGAUCCCGAAAUUUGGAAGUCUUCUAUAGAAAAAGGGAAGAGGCAACCCAAAGGCACCGGACCAAGAGGAGGGAGGGAGACAACAGCACUCACCGUUCCCUUUGCUCUGUGCUGGGCCAGACACUCAGUCACGGGACCUGCUUCAGGGAACGACGGGAAAUGUAGUACGGAUUCUUUUUCGUCUUGCAUCUUGGGACUUGUGGUUCAGACCCUUCUCCUUCGAAGGAUUUGUAGUCAAGCCCAUAGAGCAAAAACAGGGGGGGAAAGAGCAACAUACUCCACUGAAGACAAAACUUCUGAGGCACUUUUUUUUCCUCCUGGAAGGCGGAACUGAGGUGCCCAUAAAAAAAAUGGAGAAAUGCAGAAUUUUAGGAUAAUUUGCGAUUAAACAGCAGUGGGGUUUUUCUUCGCACAAAAAGAUAGCAGCAAAAAAUAGGAACGUUCCUGCUGUUUCUAACUCGGGUCUUCUUUUAUGCAAAAAAAAUAUUGUUUUGAAUUUGUAAAAAAAAACACGAAUUGUCCUGCGAAUACCCGCGUUAGUUAUCCCUCUGUUGUUGGGGUGUACUGUGGUUUGAAGUGAGUGGCUUACAACAGCCCUGCAAUGUAGUCCACUGUUAACAUUGCAGAUUAGAGGUGAUGCAGAGGCUGAUUUGGUUUUCCAGCGCAAAAUCUCCCGUACUAACAAAAUACAACAAACACUAUAGGUUGCAGUAAAGUUCAAAUGUCCCUACAUUCAGGGUAUCGUCUGAAGCUAUAUGAGACCACCAUCUUGGUGAAGUGAUCUGUUUACUGCUUUGCUGGAAGACUGUCGUCUAAAUGUUGAACAAGUCUUUAAAAAAUACGUUUUUCACAUGAAAUAAGUCUUGCAUUAAAAAGACCACAAACUCCUCUUUGCAUGUAAAUCCAGGAUUUAUCUCCUGAUGUCUAUGACGAUGGAGGGGGGAGAGAGCUUCCAAACUGUACUCGAAAGUCGGAAAUCUAUGAGUCCAUUUAUCCUAACAACUAUAGAUCAGGUAUGCCCCACACUCUCCAACCCAGCGAGAGCAGAGAGCAUGUUGGGGGUUGUAGUCUUGCAGCCCCCUUCUGAUGGCGGAGAGCGGAGGGAAUUGAAGGCAUGCAAUUAGAGGCAACUGUCUCGUAGCAAUCCAUCCUCGAUCGGCCUUAAGCUGACCUAUCUCCAACACCUACCAUUUUAGGGUUGCAAUUCUCCACCAUUUUCAAGCGGAAAAAAAUAAAAAACAACAUAACUAACACCAAAAAGGGGGUACUAUGUCACAAACAACCUUAGGGCGCACGCUGGAGUGAAAAAGCUGGGACAAUUCUUCCCAGCAUGCCAUGAAGUAAGUGAGGAAGAUAAUGUGUUGGGAACAACCAUCUGAACAUCCCACCCUAUCAUACAUCGCAGAAAGCUACACAAAAUGGGUCAUUGAGCUGGCAGUGAUCUGUGUCAGUGAAGGUUUGGAGCUGACAUUCCUGAGGCACCACGUUCAGCCACCAAGGCUUUUGUGGAGGCAACAGGCCAGGCCCUGGCAUGAACACUUACCAAUGGGGGCUCAGUUACGAUGGGCUCUACAGGCAGCAGUGCCCAGAAGAAGCGUCUCCAACACAACAAGCAUAAGACCCAGGGCACCAGUGUUCUAAU